rnacentral:tRNA from 1 species
AUAUGGAAAAAACAACUAUACUAGUAGUUGACUUGUUCGGAUCAAGUACAUUUUAUGAAAGAAGGGUCCAUAUA